rnacentral:rRNA from 1 species
UACAGAGGGUGCGAGCGUUGUCCGGAAUCACUGGGCGUAAAGGGCGCGUAGGCGGCCCGGUAAGGUUGCGGUGAAAGCCCGGGGCUCAACCCCGGGUCGGCCGUGGCAACUGCUGGGCUGGAGCACAGUAGAGGCGGGUGGAAUUCCGGGUGUAGCGGUGGAAUGCGUAGAGAUCCGGAAGAACACCGGUGGCGAAGGCGGCCUGACUGGGCAGUGGCUGACGCUGAGGCGCGACAGCGUGGGGAGCAAACAGG